rnacentral:rRNA from 1 species
GAUGAACGCUGGCGGCGCGCCUAACACAUGCAAGUCGAACGGCACCUGCCUUCGGGCAGAAGCGAGUGGCGAACGGCUGAGUAACACGUGGAGAACCUGCCCCCUCCCCCGGGAUAGCCGCCCGAAAGGACGGGUAAUACCGGAUACCCCGGGGUGCCGCAUGGCACCCCGGCUAAAGCCCCGACGGGAGGGGAUGGCUCCGCGGCCCAUCAGGUAGACGGUGGGGUGACGGCCCACCGUGCCGACAACGGGUAGCCGGGUUGAGGGACCGACCGGCCAGAUUGGGACUGAGACACGGCCCAGACUCCUACGGGAGGCAGCAGUGGGGAAUCUUGCGCAAUGGGGGGAACCCUGACGCAGCGACGCCGCGUGCGGGACGGAGGCCUUCGGGUCGUAAACCGCUUUCAGCAGGGAAGAGUCAAGACUGUACC